UAUGAUUCAACCAGACUAGCACUCCCCAAAUCAUCAAACCUAAACCCAGUUCUUAUAAAUCCCAUAUCAAUUUGCCUUUUUGGGUAUCUGCCGAAAAACAGUUUCGACCAUCUCCAAAUAAGAACAUUUUCCAUAUGAUUCAACCAGACCAGCACUCUCCAAAUCAUCAAACCUAAACCCAGUUCUUAUAAAUCCCAUAUGAAUUUGCUUCCUCAUUUCCAAAUCUAAAUGUCUAGCAUAGAGAGAAAUAACAAUGGUUAAUGUAACCAACUCAUCAUCCCCCACUCGUCUCUUCUUUCACCUCUCCUAAAAAGCCUUCACAACAAUGUAUAACACCAACACAACAACCUACUUGGCAUGCAUGCAAGCCAUAAUGUCCAAUCCUCAAUACUAACAUCCCACUCUUUAAUGCAUCCCAUUUGACAUCAUCAUUCGUAGUUUUCCUCAAACAACAAACAUUGCAUAAGCCACAAUUCUCAUCAUGCAUAUUAUGUACAAGUUCCAAAUCCUGAUAUGGGACUUUAAAAUCAAGAUGGUGCCUUGGUGCAUGAAAUUCGGCAAUAGAGCGAUAAUAAUUUGGACCUAGCAACUUACAUUACCACAUACUAGAGACCAAUGUACCUCCAUGUAACUUUGGAAGCAAGCUCUUCCAAUGGCUUCAAGCUCUCAAACCACACAUCAUGCCCACGUUCGAACCUUGGUACAAUUCCAUUUACAACAAUAGGUAGUUGCAAUGGUUCCAGCUGCCCUUUACCAUGGAGUUCAGUAUCACAGGAACACACAUUGCAACAAUAAUUCCGAGUAUAAUUGUACCCAGAAAUAGCCCUGAAGUUUCAUUGUUUUACUCCCAGACCACAUAACUCAAUCACCAGUCCAUAAUCUUCAGAAGGUGAUGCUGAAAUCAAUUCCCAAAUAGGCAACUCACUCAUAGGACUUUUAUCAAACACUUAGAGUGCAUAGACCAACUCCUUGUAAAGUUCACUAAAACUUAGAUAAUUAUCACUUAUUCCCAGAUGCAUAACAUGGCUGGAGUAUUUAGGGUGAAAAACCAGCCCACAAUUUUGCAAAAUCAACACCAAAUCACUACCAUCCUUGAACCCAGAUGCAAACCCAAAACCACUUGAAUUGAAAUAUAAAGUUAACAUCUGCAGUGCUGGAGGAUGAAAUAUAAAGUUAAUCAUUGAAGAGAGGAAUUGCAGAAGGAACAUGGAAAGAGACCUCGGAGGAGCUCGGAGGAAAAU
rnacentral:lncRNA from 1 species